UAUGGAGGGGACUAGCGUUGUUCGGAAUUACUGGGCGUAAAGCGCACGUAGGCGGAUUUGUAAGUCAGGGGUGAAAUCCCGGGGCUCAACCCCGGAACUGCCUUUGAUACUGCGAAUCUCGAGUCCGGAAGAGGUGAGUGGAAUUCCUAGUGUAGAGGUGAAAUUCGUAGAUAUUAGGAAGAACACCAGUGGCGAAGGCGGCUCACUGGUCCGGUACUGACGCUGAGGUGCGAAAGCGUGGGGAGCAAACAGG
rnacentral:rRNA from 1 species